AUUGGCAAUUACUCAUGACCCAGCCCGAUUUAUCAAUCCAUACCCGAAACUCAAUCAUUUGAAACUAACUCGAAUCCUAAACCUUCUAAAAGCAAGAAGAUCCUAUUUGGAACGACUGUUUUGCCUUUAAAUUCUUUCUUUGAAAAAAUCAAAAUUCUCUUAUGAAUAGUGUUUUGACGGGUUUAACCUUAUAUACUCUUCUCUUCACUACGACGAGGCUCCUCAGCCCCUGCAAUGGCUGACAUUUUUCAUCUUCUUUCCCACCAAUCAAACCCCAAUUCCUAGUUCGCGAAGUGGAAGUCUCUGGUUCGCUCUCUGCUAAUGGCUCGCUAAUCACAUUGCAACCUUGCAUGGCCAUCUAUUCCUUUUCUUGCCGACUUUGUUGGACAAGUACUCAAGUGUCGUCCAUGUACAUAAUAAAGGAGCCUGAAGGUGGAGAUUAUGGGGAUCCAGAUAAUUUUAUUGGGAAGAAGAGGUAUUCGUUUAAAAGAAUCGCAUUGAUGGCGUUAAACUGUUUUCAUGUGAAUUCUGGUUUCUUCCUUCUGGUGGUAAAAGUUUGUCGUAUCCCUAUGUCAAUGUGACAUGCAUAUAUUGAGAGGGCAUUUUGUGAUCAUUUCCUCUUCAGAAAGCUUAUGGGUUCUCAAUGCCAGGUCAUGUUGGAUUGCAUGCAAAGAGUUGAGGUUUAGGUCGAGGAUAUUAUUGUCCAGCAGGAAUUUAAAGAUACAAUAAAGUAUGUCGAAAAGAUAUACCCACAAGCUGAAUUAUGUGGAUAUUUUUGUAUCAUUCCUUCUUCAUUGUGGAAACCUUCAUGUCCUCUUAAAGAAAAAGAUAUAUGGGAACACACCAAGUUUGUGACCCGUGUACAGAGAAAUGACAAACUGCAGAAUCGUAAUGCGUCAAGAAAACAGUCUAAGGUUCGUAAUCAUUAUAGGAAGAAUCAUAAUCAUUCUAGGAAGAAAAGGAGAAGAUGUGGAAGAAUGGAGGUAGAAUUCGGGCCUGGUAAUGGAAAAACUUUGGAGCCAGGAAAAGCUGAAUUUGGUUUUGAACCUAGCCCUGAAUUCACUAUAGAUGGCUUUCAUAGAUAUGCUGACACUUUUAAGGCCCAAUAUUUCAGGAGUGAAAAAUGUACAGAUUCUGGUAUUGAAAACUGGGAGCCAUCAGUCAAUAGUAUACUGGCGAGUGGUUGAGAAGCCUACUAAGGAAAUUGAGGUUCUCUAUGGGGCUGAUAUGGAAACUAGAGUUUUCUGUAGUGGCUUUCCGAAAUUCUUUGAUCAAGGUUGUUCGACCUCUAACACGGGUUGUGAUAAAUCAGGAUGAAACUUGAACAUUUACGUAGGCUUGCUAAUUUCGUUCUUUCCUAUGAAAAUGCAUAUAUAUAUAUAUAUAAAUAUAUAUAUAUCAGGUGUUCAAGUGCCAUGGUUGUACAUUGGAAUGUGCUUUUCCUCAUUUUAGUGGGUACGUUUACAGUGAUGGUUCUAAACUAUCAGCAUCCCAGGACAUGCUUUUGAAAAAAAUGGGUAACUUGUAACAGGGGAAUACAUUAGGGGGGGGGGGGGGGUAUAUACUAUUUUGCUUUAAAUGGUCCGAGUUAUCUGCCAGACUGACACUAUGCUGGAGUGGAAAAGGUUUGGCAAAAUUUUUCCAUGAAUUGAAAACAAAAUAAAUUACGAGGUGGCAAUUAUACUGACAGUGUAUUACUAUACAAAUUUCAUGUGUUUAUCUUGUGUAUAUUUCAACUUUAACAUAACCUAGUAGAGUUUUACGUCAUGUGUUUUACCUAAGUGCCUUUUGAGACAUUUAUAGCUGAUUCUAUUUUCUUCUUUUGUUUGAAUAGAAUUUCGAAGAUCAUCAUUUGUAUUCUCUGAAUUGCAUGCAUUUUGGGGCUCCAAAAUUUUGGUAUGGUGUCUCAAGAGUGAUGCCAUUAAGAUGGAGGAAGUGAUGAAGAAAUAUUUGCAUGAUCUGUUUGAUUAGCAGCCUGAUCGAUCUCCUCCAUAAACUGAAAAUUUCAUGGAGAGACCAAACAUUCGCUUGUGACAUUGCAUGCUAUAUUCAAAAUACAUUCAGCUUAACGCACACGAGUGCUCCUAAACCGUUGAAGGUUGAGCUUGAGGAAGAUGAGUUUGAGAUUGCAGUUGGUAAAAAGAAGGUUAUUGUGUUUUUAGUACUUAGACGGGUAGUGCCGAGGGAUUUGCUAAGGUAUUUGUUGGAUGUUUUUCAUUUGUUGUUUUUGUUAAAUUAAUAUAAUUUUUCUGCGGUUUUGAUUGAACAGUUUGGGGAUAAAUUGGAUAUACAGAGAUCAUUUUGUUGAGUUUGCAGUGCCGGAGAAAAGAAAUUAAAGAAAUUAUAUGACUUGUAUUUUGUUUGUAAAUUAUUAUUUCAUCCAAGUAAAAGAAACUAAAUUAUUUGAAUUGGUAUUUUCAAUGAAGGAUUUGAGGGACUUGUAUA